CGAACGCUGGCGGCGUGCUUAACACAUGCAAGUCGAACGAUGAACCGGUUUCGGCCGGGGAUUAGUGGCGAACGGGUGAGUAACACGUGGGCAAUCUGCCCUGCACUCUGGGAUAAGCCCGGGAAACUGGGUCUAAUACCGGAUACGACACUCCGAGGCAUCUUGGGGUGUGGAAAGUUCCGGCGGUGCAGGAUGAGCCCGCGGCCUAUCAGCUUGUUGGUGGGGUAAUGGCCUACCAAGGCGACGACGGGUAGCCGGCCUGAGAGGGUGACCGGCCACACUGGGACUGAGACACGGCCCAGACUCCUACGGGAGGCAGCAGUGGGGAAUAUUGCACAAUGGGCGAAAGCCUGAUGCAGCGACGCCGCGUGAGGGAUGACGGCCUUCGGGUUGUAAACCUCUUUCAGCAGGGAAGAAGCGAAAGUGACGGUACCUGCAGAAGAAGCACCGGCUAACUACGUG
rnacentral:rRNA from 1 species